CGGGACACGUGGUAUCCUGUCUGAAUAUGGGGGGACCAUCCUCCAAGGCUAAAUACUCCUGACUGACCGAUAGUGAACCAGUACCGUGAGGGAAAGGCGAAAAGAACCCCGGCGAGGGGAGUGAAAAAGAACCUGAAACCGUGUACGUACAAGCAGUGGGAGCCUCUUUUAUGGGGUGACUGCGUACCUUUUGUAUAAUGGGUCAGCGACUUAUAUUCUGUAGCAAGGUUAACCGAAUAGGGGAGCCGAAGGGAAACCGAGUCUUAACUGGGCGUUAAGUUGCAGGGUAUAGACCCGAAACCCGGUGAUCUAGCCAUGGGCAGGUUGAAGGUUGGGUAACACUAACUGGAGGACCGAACCGACUAAUGUUGAAAAAUUAGCGGAUGACUUGUGGCUGGGGGUGAAAGGCCAAUCAAACCGGGAGAUAGCUGGUUCUCCCCGAAAGCUAUUUAGGUAGCGCCUCGUGAAUUCAUCUCCGGGGGUAGAGCACUGUUUCGGCAAGGGGGUCAUCCCGACUUACCAACCCGAUGCAAACUGCGAAUACCGGAGAAUGUUAUCACGGGAGACACACGGCGGGUGCUAACGUCCGUCGUGAAGAGGGAAACAACCCAGACCGCCAGCUAAGGUCCCAAAGUCAUGGUUAAGUGGGAAACGAUGUGGGAAGGCCCAGACAGCCAGGAUGUUGGCUUAGAAGCAGCCAUCAUUUAAAGAAAGCGUAAUAGCUCACUGGUCGAGUCGGCCUGCGCGGAAGAUGUAACGGGGCUAAACCAUGCACCGAAGCUGCGGCAGCGACACUGUGUGUUGUUGGGUAGGGGAGCGUUCUGUAAGCCUGCGAAGGUGUGCUGUGAGGCAUGCUGGAGGUAUCAGAAGUGCGAAUGCUGACAUAAGUAACGAUAAAGCGGGUGAAAAGCCCGCUCGCCGGAAGACCAAGGGUUCCUGUCCAACGUUAAUCGGGGCAGGGUGAGUCGACCCCUAAGGCGAGGCCGAAAGGCGUAGUCGAUGGGAAACAGGUUAAUAUUCCUGUACUUGGUGUUACUGCGAAGGGGGGACGGAGAAGGCUAUGUUGGCCGGGCGACGGUUGUCCCGGUUUAAGCGUGUAGGCUGGUUUUCCAGGCAAAUCCGGAAAAUCAAGGCUGAGGCGUGAUGACGAGGCACUACGGUGCUGAAGCAACAAAUGCCCUGCUUCCAGGAAAAGCCUCUAAGCAUCAGGUAACAUCAAAUCGUACCCCAAACCGACACAGGUGGUCAGGUAGAGAAUACCAAGGCGCUUGAGAGAACUCGGGUGAAGGAACUAGGCAAAAUGGUGCCGUAACUUCGGGAGAAGGCACGCUGAUAUGUAGGUGAAGCGACUUGCUCGUGGAGCUGAAAUCAGUCGAAGAUACCAGCUGGCUGCAACUGUUUAUUAAAAACACAGCACUGUGCAAACACGAAAGUGGACGUAUACGGUGUGACGCCUGCCCGGUGCCGGAAGGUUAAUUGAUGGGGUCAGCGCAAGCGAAGCUCUUGAUCGAAGCCCCGGUAAACGGCGGCCGUAACUAUAACGGUCCUAAGGUAGCGAAAUUCCUUGUCGGGUAAGUUCCGACCUGCACGAAUGGCGUAAUGAUGGCCAGGCUGUCUCCACCCGAGACUCAGUGAAAUUGAACUCGCUGUGAAGAUGCAGUGUACCCGCGGCAAGACGGAAAGACCCCGUGAACCUUUACUAUAGCUUGACACUGAACAUUGAGCCUUGAUG
rnacentral:rRNA from 1 species